rnacentral:lncRNA from 1 species
AGUUGCUUUUUUAUGAGGAUGGUGAACCCAAAGUUGAUGGUGAAGCUGGAGAUCUUAAGUUCAGGAUCCAAACAGCACCACAUGAGCGCUUCAGAAGAGAAGGCAACGAUCUGCAUACAACUGUGACAAUUUCACUGGUCCAAGCUCUUGUUGGUUUUGAAAAGACCAUCAAGCAUCUUGAUGAACAUUUAGUGGAAAUUGGCACAAAGGGAAUCACUAAACCUAAAGAGGUGAGGAAGUUCAAAGGGGAAGGCAUGCCUUUGCACCUAAGUACAAAGAAAGGAGAUUUGUAUGUGACGUAUGAAGUUUUGUUCCCCAAGUCACUAACCGAAGAUCAGAAGACUAAGAUCAAGGCAAUUCUUUCUUAAAGCUGGCGUUCUCUCCAUUGGUAUUACUUGGUUCUCCUUUGUACUUUGACUAGGUUUAAUUGGAAGGUGUACAGCCCCUGGAAUUUUCCCAAGUGGCUCCUAUUUGAAUGAUGUCAUUGACUGUAAUCCUUGUUGGCUGCCUGUUUCCAUAGGAUGCUGUCACCUCUUCUCUUUUUUCCCCCUUUCUUUUUUUUAAAAUUUUUUUGGGCAAUAGAUGUACUUUAGAAAAGGAAACUGAUUAAUUGGAAUUUGAUCCUGAUCUUUCUCUCCCUUAUCUCAACUAGGGCGAAAGAAAAACAUAUAUUAUAGAAUCAUGCUUGGUUAUGUAAUUCCAUUUCCACGAGACAAUUUAUGUGGACACUGCUCUCAAAAUGUAUCCAAAAUGAUGAAUUAAGAUUUUCCUUGUUAUAUUUUGUUCACAGGCGUGCUUGUCAAUAAAGCGGCAGCUAGAGGAAGUCGGAGUCGGCGACGGGCGGGCUUCUCCUCCGGGCUGCACUGUGAUGUAGUCGGCCGAUUCUCCACCAAAAAAGGUAUGUGUAGUUUGUGUAUGUUAGAUGUUUGAUGAAAUGCCACAAAGAACAGAGAUAUACUCCUGAAAAGAAUGGACGUGCCAGAUCCCGACGAUCCUGACGAUGCCUGCCGCCGCCGAAGAAGAAGUGGCCGGUGCCCGGUGGUGGGCUACGAGAGAAGAGAUGAGAAAAGGAGAGGAAAAAGGGAAGGAAAAACCAGGGACUGCUUCAAGAUCUCUAUUGCUCUGAUACCAUGAUGAAAUAGAGAAAGAAGGGAGUAAGACAAGGAAGGAUAAUGUUUUCUUGUUUUUUAGGAAACAGCCAUAGCCCACCUUUUAUAAGGGGAAGGUGGCUAUCCUAUACAGUUACAACAGCUAAAGUGUCAGGUAUUACAAUGGCUAUAUUAUUAGGUCAUGUACAAUCAUGUCACUAGCUAAGCUAAUGUACAGCUAAGCUAAAGCUAAGCUAACAGUUAUUUUGAUCACCCAGUUUACUGGGGUCAAUAUGAUAUCCUUAUCUCCACUCAGUCACAUAAUAAAAAUCAACAGUACAUCUUAAAUUUAUUUUAUCCGCAUCUUAGAGUAAUUCUUAAGUUCUUCCUUCUCAUGCCCAUCCAGAACACUUUCAUUGGCUUGUCAUGCUGAACUGUUAAUUGGAAGUGAUAGUAUACCUUUUUAGUUGGUGUAGGGAAGUGGCUUCUGUCUUGCAGGGUGAGAAUAGGUAAAGAAACAUGGGAAGGACCUAACUAAAAUGAUAAUGUCCCAUCCAUCCUGGAAGCCUUAGAUAUGUGCAAAUGUUGAUCUAUUGAAAUAGUUUAAAUCUAAAUAUACAAAGUAGUUUAGUUGAAUGAAUGAAUGAAAGUGUGACUUUAUAGUAAGUUCGGUGCCUAGUUGUUUGUGGUUCGCCACACCAGAUUGUGCCGCCCAGUACCAGGCAUACUAUACUAUAUUGGUAGCGAACUGAUACUCGGUAUAAUCGGUAUGGAAGGCAUACAGAGUGUUGGUACAAUGAGAUGACCCGAUAUUGUACUAAAAUAGUAACAUGUACCUAAAAGAGUACUGCGAGCCAUUAUCUAGUCAUUAUAGUAAUUGUGUGGGUGAUAGCAAGGUCCUUGGCUCAAGGGUCACCUAGACAAUUUGACCAAUACGGUUGCAACUCUAUAUAUCUCAUAGUUGAGAGCAUUUAAGAUGGUUUUAUCAUUGAUUAUCAAUUCUUUCUGCUGAUUUUAUAUGCUUUUGUUUUCACACUCCUUCGUAUUGGGUUGUUUUUCACAAUCUUGUUUCCUCUUUACUGCUGCUUUGAUAUUUGCAACUGCUUCUAUGAUGAUUUUUGCCUGGCUGUUAAUGCGUUUUCAAUGAGCCAUCUUGCAUAUGCAUAAUGCAUAAUACAUUAUACUAUUACCCCCUUUUGCAUUACAUUUGCCUUUUUUUUUUUUUUGCGAGUGUUGCUUUCAUACAUUAUCUCAUACAGUAAGUAUUGCUAGUUUUAUCAUGUUGUAUCUAAAGUACAUGCAUUUUAUUGGCUUACCUAAUUAUAAAUCAAGUAUUGCUGGCAUUGCUUACAUAUAAGGUUUCUUUCAGUUUCUUUGGAGGUGGUAUGGCUGAAGAAGAGGAAGAGGUGAUAGCAAAAGGUGAUGAUGUAGUUGUUGAAUUGGAUGCCACACUAGAAGAUUUAUACAUGGGAGGUUCAUUAAAGGUAAUUUUACUCUCUUCAUAAUUUUCUUAAGGCCAUUCAUUAUCUAAAACUUCUUCUGCAAACCACCGUAGACAUCAUUGCUAUUAUCGUUUCUUUUUAGAUCAAUGCCUUAUAUGUGAAUUGUGCCACUGUAAUUUUUAUGGUCCUAUAUUCUUGUUCAGGAUGAGGACUUUUUUGGGUUUUUGAUGUUCCCCUUUUGCUUUUCUAGUUUAUAACUGCAUUAUUUCUUGAAACAUAAUUUUAAAUUGAUUUUGCAUACUAUGAACUGGAGCAUGUCUUUGAGAUAACCUGUUUCUUAUGAAUUCCAAAUCACCUUACUUUGUCUUCUUUGGUGAGAUAUCUUAUAGGUUUGGAGGGAGAAAAAUGUUGUAAAGCCAGCCCCUGGUAAGAGGCGUUGUAACUGCAGGAAUGAAGUUUAUCAUAGGCAAAUUGGGCCGGGAAUGUUUCAGCAGAUGACAGAACAGGUUCAUUCUCUUUCAAAAGAUUCCUUGCUAGGUAGCUCUGCCAUGUGUGGAUGAGACUUUCUCAAACAAAGAGCAGUUUAGGCCCCGCUAUUUUUGUUGUCAUUCGAAUGUGCACUGAUAGGGAUAAAUAAUUAUAUAUGAACUUUUAUUCUUAAAUAAAUUUCACCUUCAGAACAUGUUUAAGUUGAAAAAGUUUUAUUUAGAUUUCAUAUGUUUCUUUUUCAGGUCUGCGAGCAAUGUUCAAACGUGAAAUUUGAGCGAGAAGGUUAUUUUAUCACUGUUGAUAUUGAGAAGGGGAUGCAAGAUGGACAAGUAAGCUUCUAAGCCUCAAAACUGACUCAAACAUUAUUUAUAGGUUAUCAUUAUUCCGAAUAAAGUCUUCUUGAGCCAGUGUUUUCUAUGUAUUACACUACUGCUUGUUCCUGCCCGAUACAUAUGGGGUUUUCUAUUUUUUUUUUACUUACCAUCCAGUGGCAGUAUCUUCAUGGAUGUUCUUAGGCUGCUUAGUUUUUCAAACUUAUGAUUUGCCACUAGUUUUACUAUGUUAUUUAUACUACUGGACAUUGCAUCACAUUCUUAUCAAAAAUUAUUCAUAUUUUGGAUAUUUUCUCAGUUCCUUUAUUUGAUCAAACCUUCACACUAAUAGACCUACAUCUAUAUUUGAAUAUGCUUAUUAAAAUGCAUGCUACUGCUGGGCAAAACAAAGUCAUUUUGAUUAACCCUGAUUUGUAUCAAUUAGCAUGUCUAUUUAUCCAUUUUACUGGUAGUUACACUAUUUCUUAGGCUUUCAUCUAUGUUUCAUCUUUAUGUUUAUUUUUGUAUAUUCUAUUUCCUUCAUAUUAAUUAUCUCAUCUGCAUGCUGAACUUCAUUUGGCAAAUCCUAUACCAUCUUCAUUGUGUUGGCAGAGAGUUCAAUCCAGGCUCUAUGAUAUGCGUAGCAUAUUCUUCUCUUAUUUCUUAUGAGUGACCAACUAAAAAUUUAUCUUCGUUUAGCAAAGUUUGCGGUACCAAUUGGUACGUACCAUAUCAGUGCUGAACCAGUACACGGUAUUAGGGAUGUACUAAUUGUCGAUGCACCGAAGUGGGUACCGUAUCGGAUGUGUACCGAUAAAGUAGUAGGAUGGUAUUGGUAUAGGUCCGCUACCAAGAUGGUGAACCUAUUUAGGCCCUAUUUGGAGAGCUGUUGGCAGUAGAGCUUUUGGAAGUAGAGCUUUCUGAAGUAGAGCUUUUAUAAAAAGUUGUUUGCUGUUUGAUAACUACAUUUCUAAAGUGUUGUGGCACUUUAACAUGUAUUUGGUAAACAAACUGAGAAAGUAUUUUUGGUAUGACAAAAUGACCAUAAAGGACAUUGCAUAGUAUUAUACAAUAGAACAUAAUAAAAUAUAAUAUAUAUUAAUACAUAAAUAUAUGAUACAGUAUAAUAUUAUUAUAAUGUAAUAUAAUAUUAUUAUAAUAUAGUAAUAUAAUAUUGUAUACUAUAGCAUAAUAAUUUAAUAUAAUAUUAAAUUAAUUAACAUAACAUAUCAAUGUAUUAUGAUAUAAUGUAAUAUAAUAUUAUAUUUAUAGUAUAAUACAAUAACAAAGGUAUAAAAUAUCAUAAUUAUUAGCGUAAAUUAAUUUUUCAUAAUAUAACAUAAUAUUAAAUUAUUUAACAUAACAUAUUAAUGUAUUAUGAUAUAAUGUAAUAUAAUAUGAUAUUUAUAGUAUAAUACAAUAAUAAAGGUAUAAAAUAUUAAAAUUAUUAGUGUAAAUUAAUUUUCUAUCCUCCUGCAGAUUUUCAUAAUUAUGAAGGGACAUUUUGUGUAAUUGUUAUAUUUUAUCAUGGGUAUUUUGGUCUAAAAAACAGCUUUCCGACGGGGCCUAAAAGUGCUUUUCCAGAAAGCUUCAAAAUAGAGUUUCUUCCAAAAAGUUAUUCUUAGCUUUCUGAAAAAGCUAAAAUAGCUUUUCAAAAUUUUUACCAAACAUCCUUAUUUCAUCUAAAAGUGCUUUUGAAGGACCAGAAAGUGCUUUUUGACCCUCCNNNNNNNNNNCUCCCCCAAACGGGCCUUAGUAUGUAUGUUGAAGCUGCUCUUCUAUCUGAGUUCUAAACUAAUUCAGGCUUGUUGCAUCAUAAAUAUAUGUAUUUUCCUUAUUCAAUUUUAUUGUGACUCAUAAGUGUCAAUCUAUAAACCUUGCAUAGGAGUUGCUUUUUUAUGAGGAUGGUGAACCCAAAGUUGAUGGUGAAGCUGGAGAUCUUAAGGUCUCUCUCUCUCUCUCUCUCUCACCCUCUCUCCACUCCCUUUAAAAAAUGAAACUUACCACUUUAAAACUACAUUAUCAUUUAACCCAAUCAUUUUCAUGAGCAGUUCAGGAUCCAAACAGCACCACAUGAGCGCUUCAGAAGAGAAGGCAAUGAUCUGCAUACAACUGUGACAAUUUCACUGGUGACAACUUUUCUUCAUUUUUUUUCCCUUUUGUCUGACUAUGAUUUAUUUCUACUGAAGUUGACCACCAUUACUGCUGUGAUUCAUAGAUCUACAUGUUUUUGUAAAUUUCACUUGGUAUUUUGUUCCGAUCUAGAGCUGUGUGCUGCUAUUAUGAUUUUAAUGUAACCGUGACUGGGUUGUCUGGAUUGUGUUUUCAUGUCAAGUAAGAGUAUGGAUUUUGCAGCGAUCCUGGAUCUCAUCUGUUUAUUUCCUGAUUUAAAGAACUUCUUUGUGUGAUUUCUCUUAUGUUGCUAACUUUGGAAAUCAAAGUUCCAAUCAUCAAACGAACUUGUGCUAGCAGUUUAGAGGAGGUUGCUCUCAAUACAGAAAUCUAAAAACAUCUUUGAGCAUGGCCUACUUUCAGAAUAUUUUACUGAAAAUUAGUAUUGUUAUGUGAUGAAUAGUAUAAUCAUGGGAAUAAAUCAUAUUAGGCAGUCCUGACUAAGAAGUAUGCAUGCUGGUGGGUGCUUCCAUGUGUUGAUUAGUCAACUAAUUACCAUAUUUAUGUCAUGCAGUAAUUUUAAUGAGGGAUCAGUGCUAUGAGCCCGCAUAUUCCUACGAAAUCAAAAGAACAUGGCGUCGCAUAGUUUAUCAUGUCAUUAACUGGCAGACAGAUUAACAGAAAACCUACAGUAAUGAGUUUUUUUAUGCUCUUUUUUUCUUAUGUAGUUUUUCUUUUUUAGUGGGAAAGAAGGGGCACUGCUGGUAUUUCCUUGUUGAUGCCAAACUUAUUUUUAUUGAUCAUACAGUGAUUGCAGUGUAGUGAAUUGCUUUAGUAUUGGAGACAUAGAUGCCUAUAGCCUGCAAUGCCUGCAAUAUUGACCUUAUAAAUUAUCAAUAUAAUCUACAUGGUGAAGUUUGACUUCCAGGGAUUUUCUGAUGCUUGCCUAUUCUAUUUUCUCUCUUGGUUUGCCUUGAGGCAUGAGCUUCAUAAAAUUUUUACCUCUGAAGUUUCUGUUUUCUGCCACUUAUAAAGAAAUACUACACUUUCCAGAUUCUUUGGGCUUCAUAUCUGUUUGUAACCAGGAUUUUAAAACUCGGUUUGGUCUCCAAGUUAAGCUUUGGUUUUGGUAGUUUCACUCUAAGUUUCAAAGUUUUGGUAAAGUGAAGAAAAAAUCCAUAAAAAAUAAAAAUUAGGAUAAAUAAAAGAAACUGAGGCAAGUUAUUUUACAUCAUUUUAUUAUGUUUUGAGUUAUUUGCAGUGAUAAUUUGUGCAGCUUAGGUAGUUUUAGGCUGAAAAUUCUUGUACCCUCUAAUAAUUUCCCCUCAGAGAUUUUUUUUCACCCUUUUGGAAGUUUGAGGAUUAUAUAUCUUCAAACUACUAAAACAAACCUAUCUAUUCAAUUAGAAACUUAGGAUAGACUGAGGAUAGAGACACUACACACCAGGUAGAAUCCUAUCUCUAAUGUCCUUAAUAGUGACUGCAAGUAGCCCUUUAUUUAUCAAUAAUCACAUGCUAUCAACAAACAAAUGAGUAUAGAUAGAGAUAGAAAAGCAAAAAAAAAAAAAGGCAUUCCGGGUUGUCGAGCCUAACCACCCCUCUUUUUUCUCUUCUUUUUCUGCAGCAUCUAAGCUUUGUUGUAAUGUUUCAAAUUUGAAAUCACAUUUCAUAAAAAAAUUGAGAUCACAUAAAUGUCUUAAUGCCUGAUGAUCGAUGCGGUAAUGAAUAAAUUUGUGUUUGAAUGAAAUUAUUGAUGAAUAAUAUUAAUGAUUAAAUGAUAUUAAUGAGUUUUAUAAAAUAGUAAGCACAUUUACUCUGGCAAUUUGAAAAAAGGAAAAAAAAACAAAAACAGCUGUUUCGGUCAGUUUUGGCUAAAACUGACCAGAACCAACCGAAACCGACCGAAACUGACAGAAACUUGAAACUCUCUUGUAACACAAGCCUUCUAUUCCGUAAAACUGGUCUUACUUUUGUGAACAAUUGGAGAGAUUUUGCUUCAUGUAGAUAGACAUCAAUAAGAAGGUAAGGAAGAGCAUCACAUGUUUUGAAACUGGUUUUGAAUGUUUUGUUUUAGCUCCACCCUAAAGAAGUUUCACUUUCUAAACCUUCUAAAAGUAUGUGCAACAACUCAUUGGGAAUAUUGAAUAAGUUAUCAUCAGCUGAAAUCUUACGAACUUCAGUACUAAGCCUUAACUAAGAGGCUUUACCUGUCUCUCUGGGUCUGGUUUUAUGAUCCUCAUGUAUUGGGUUGUGCUCUGAUCACCAUUAAUGUUUGUGUUCUUUUUUUAGUUUUGUAACUUUUGGGUGAAUUUCAGAUUUCAUUAACUGGAAAAGAGACCUGGAGUCGUCAUCUCUGUUGUAUCUACCCUUGACAUACCUUAGAGGACUUGCAUCCUAAAUUUACCAGAUAAAUUUAGGGAAGGAUGUCUGCUAAACCAUGGAUACUUACAAAUCACAUCCCUUUCACUGUUUUCGCUCCCCUCUAACCAAAAAAAAAAAAACACAAGAACUGCUAAGGGACAAGGGAAAACAGUGCUGCUUUUCCCAGGUCGAUGUUUGGAAUUAUAUCAAUCUAUAGAAAGGAAAGUCACAAAUUAUUGUGCUUGGUUUUUCAAUACUGAAGAUAAAAGGAAGCAUUUUAUGGACAUCUGAACCUGGAAUAUUUAUUCUCCUUUUUUGUUUAACUUCUUGGUUUUCAUAUAUGAUGUUGAUCUAUUAACUCCCUGCUUAUUUCAGGUCCAAGCUCUUGUUGGUUUCGAAAAGACCAUCAAGCAUCUUGAUGAACAUUUAGUGGAAAUUGGCACAAAGGUUUGCAAAUAACCAUGAUCUUGGUCAGCCAUAUGAACUUGUCAAUUUUCCUCCACUUUUUAAAUGAUUUGGUCAAAAUUUGCAGGGAAUCACUAAACCUAAAGAGGUGAGGAAGUUCAAAGGGGAAGGCAUGCCUUUGCACCUAAGUACAAAGAAAGGAGAUUUGUAUGUGACGUAUGAAGUUUUGUUCCCCAAGUCACUAACCGAAGAUCAGAAGACUAGGAUCAAGGCAAUUCUUUCUUAAAGCUGGCGUUCUCUCCAUUGGUACUACUUGGUUCUCCUUUGUACUUUGACUAGGUUUAAUUGGAAGGUGUACAGCCCCUGGAAUUUUCCCAAGUGGCUCCUAUUUGAAUGAUGUCAUUGACUGUAAUCCUUGUUGGCUGCCUGUUUCCAUAGGAUGCUGUCACCUCUUCUCUUUUUUUCCCCCUUUCUUUUUUUUUAAAAUUUUUUUGGGCAAUAGAUGUACUUUAGAAA